rnacentral:lncRNA from 1 species
CAAUUACCGGCGUCGCCCGCGUCCUCCUAACGCUCCUUCACAAGAUGGCAAAGAGGCAGGUGAAGCACCAACUGAGAACCCUGCUCCACCCACCCAGCAGAGCAGUGCUGAGUAACACCAGGCUCCUCAGGCACCUUCACCAUCGGCAGGUGACCUAAAGAAUUAAUGACCAUUCAGAAAUAAAGCAAAAAGCAGGCCACAACCUUAACCAACACCAAAGAAACAUCCAAGCAAUAAAGUGGAAGACUAACCAAGAUUUGGACAUUGGAAUGUUUACUGUUAUUCUUUAAGAAACAACUACAAAAAGAAAAUGUCAACAAAUUUUUCCAGCAAGCUGAGAACCUGGGAAUUCCUGCACGGAAGACAAGAGAGUAGCCUCUCCAGUUUCAGCAACCGCUAGGUUUCUAUUUUUUUUCCUGGUUUUUACUGUUUUGGUAAUAUAUAUAUUGAAACAAGAAAUAUUAAUACCACAUGGGGAGAACCCCAACCAAAGAAAUCUGAAAUAUAUAGUAAAUGCUUUUUUUUCCGUUUUUGUUCAUUUUGGAUGCUGGUGCUAAACCUCCAAGUGUCAUGAUU